rnacentral:rRNA from 1 species
GAUGAACGCUAGCGGCAGGCUUAAUACAUGCAAGUCGAACGGCAGCAGCACCUUCGGGUGGCUGGCGAGUGGCGCACGGGUGAGUAACGCGUACAGAACCUACCUUUUACGAGGGGGAAAGUCGCUGGAAACGGCGAAUAAUCCCGCAUAAGACUACAGUAUCGCUAUGGGUACAGGAGUUAAAGGAGUGAUCCGGUAAAAGAUGGUUGUGCGUUCCAUUAGCUAGAUGGUGAGGUAACGGCUCACCAUGGCGAC